UCUUCAUUUCACGUUCUCUCUUACCGGUCAGAAUUACGAGAGAGCACGCAAAAUGAAGAGA
rnacentral:pre_miRNA from 1 species